CCUACGGGUUGCAGCAGUAGGGAAUUUUCCACAAUGGGCGAAAGCCUGCUGGAGCCACGCCGCGUGGGUGAAGAAGGUCUUCGGAUCGUAAAACCCUGUUGUUAGAGAAGAAAGUGCGUGAUAGUAACUGUUCACGUUUCGACGGUAUCUAACCAGAAAGCCACGUCUAACUACGUGCCAGCAGCCGCGUUAAUACUUAGUUGGCCAGCGUUAUCCGGAUUUAUUGGUCGUAAGGGGAACGCAGGCGGUCUUUUAAGUCUGAUGUGAAAGCCUUCGGCUUAACCGGAGUAGUGCAUUGGAAACUGGGAGACUUGAGUGCAGAAGAGGAGAGUGGAACUCCAGGUGUAGCGGUGAAAUGCGUAGAUAUAUGGAAGAACACCAGUGGCGAAAGCGGCUCUCUGGUCUGUAACUGACGCUGAGGUUCGAAAGCGUGGGUAGCAAACAGGAUUAGAUACCCCAGUAGUC
rnacentral:rRNA from 1 species